rnacentral:lncRNA from 1 species
CUGUGUUACAGGAAAUUGAACCCCACGAUGCCACAGUUCCCUCACUGGAGAGGCGGGGACGGUCACUGUGGUGGCCCCCUUGGUGGCCGAUGCAGACACAGUGCUUGAGACAGGGCCAGCCCAGCCACGUGCUCACUGUCCCGACCACGGCCAUGGCAGUCGCCCUUGGUCCUCUCGCUAGGCCUCUGGGUUUUGCAGAGGUUCAGCGAGGUGGUGGCUUUCUCCGAUUUUAUCUUUGCAAUCAAGCCCUCGGCUUAUCCGGGCCUCACAGCAGGGGAGGUGACUCUCCCGGUGUGAGGGGCUGGCAAGGGUGGGCACAGAGACUCUGCUGCACCCAGGACCUCGCCUCUUUUGAAGCAGCUGCUGCUCCCGGAGAACCCUCCCCCCCAACCUCGCUCCCAUUCCAGCUGCACCUGAGGGUCCAGGGGAGCUCUGGGGCCGGGCCUGACCUGCUCUUGAGGGGUAGGGGUCUGGGACGUGGGCCGGGCAGGGUCUCAGAGAGGCCUGGUGGAGGCAGAGGUGCUGCAGGUGGCGUGAAGGAAGGCGGAAGUUGGGGCACAAGCCGUGAGCUGCGGAGAGUCCACGGCUCUGCCCUGCCGUGGCUUCCCUCCCACCCCAGCCUCUGCUGCCUCUUGCGGCUCCUUCCCACUGCAAGGCAGCCCGUGCCCCUCGCUGCCCCCAAUUUCUUUAGGAUCCAGUGCCCAGUCAGGGCGGGGGGCGCAAUAUGUAGGGAAAGAGACAGUGGGCACCGGCCUGGGCCCAUGGGCGCCAGGGGCUGGAUGGUCCCUCCCAGGAUGCUCAGGCUCUGGAACUCUGCAGCUCGGCCACACGCUGUGUUUCUCUCAGAGGCUCCUGAGGGUCCCCAGAGAGCCCAGAAGCCCGGCGCUGCGCCCAGGGAGCAGGCAGAGAAGGACCUCAGAGGAGGAGGGACUUCACGUCCCGUGCGUGCUCAAGCUGCCACUCGGGAGCACCCGGCUUCUCUCCCUUCCUCUCGGAUUGGAGCCAGCCGAGGCCCGCAGGCCCGGGGUCGCUCAGCGCCAGAAGCUGCCAGCCCCUGGAAGCGCGGGGCCCCC